CAAUUGUGAAAACAAAUGUGGGAAUUGUAUCAAUGGAACUCACUGCAACUACAUCACUGGAAUAUGUGCAGAUGGAUGUCAAAGGCAUUGGAAUGGAUCCAAGUGUGAGGUUUGUAAAGAAGGCUAUUAUGGACCUAACUGUAAACACACGUGUGGUAAAUGUAAAGCUGGAACCUUCUGUGACAACAUAACAGGAAUCUGUUCAGGUGGAUGUCAGAAGCGUUGGAGUGGAUCAAAAUGUGACGUUUGUAAAGGUGGUUACUAUGGAAACAAAUGUGAAUAUACUUGUGGUCAGUGUAAAGCUGGAACCUUCUGCAACAACAUCACAGGAAACUGCCCAAAAGGUUGUCAAAAUCGCUGGGAUGGAUCAAAAUGUGAAAGGUGUGAAAACGGUUUUUACGACGACAACUGCACGCAGACUUGUGGGUAUUGUCGAUCUGGAACAUAUUGUCAUAAUAUAACGGGGAUUUGUCCAGAUGGAUGUGAUGAU